GAGAAAAGGCCUCUUCCUGGUCCAUCCGCGCCGCGCACGCCCACGCAGCGUCUAGACGACCCUCCUGAGCGUCCCGUCUCCUAGUAACCAGCCGCUAUCCACUUUCCCAAGACUUUUUCUUUCUCUGUGCCGGCUGUGCGGCACCUGGGUGGAACGCGCAUGUGCAUGGUUAUCUUGCCUCUGGCAGCCUUCUCUCAGCUCAGACACCUGCUCCUUCGCUGUCGCUUUUUUUGUACUAUUUUUCCCGGGGAUCGGAUAUCAUUCUUACCCAUGUUCAGUGAACUCUUUGCUCCCCAGAGUUGCUCUUGGGAGCAGGGAGGGUGGUGAGCUCUUCAGCCGCAGUCAGGAGCCGAUUUUCGAGGAGCCCCCCAGGUCCGGUCCUGAAGCUGCAGCCUCUGGGGAGAGAGCUGGCGUGAUCCGGUGAGCUCUGGCAGUCUGCAGUCUGGGGACCUUGCGGACUCUCUUCUGCCUUGCAUAAUCCAGUCUGGGUUCAGUCUGGGGAGUGACAGAACUAGCCAUGAAAACGCAGAUUCCUGACCGGUAUACCUUAUCCACAAAAAAGAGAAAGGGUAUACUAUCUCCCUUGAUAUUUAAUGUUGUAUCGUUUGUUUUCCUUAUUAAUACCAUUUAAACUUGUCUUUCAGUUAGCAGGCUUCAGCCUUGGAACACUCAUUUAACUUAACCAGGUGUAGUAUUACUUUUGGCCAACCAUGGUAGUACUGACCAUAUUACCUAAAAGUGAAGAAAUGAGCUUUUUAGUGAAAAAGAAUGAGAAUUGCGUUUUUCUGGCAAAUUUUUGGAGCCCAGCUUGAAAUACUGCCUUCUAAACAUUUUUUAAUGUUUAACGUGUUUCAUUUUUCUUAAAUAUCCCAAUUACUUCUUAACUCUAAUGGUGGCUUUAUCUCCCUGUCAUUUCCUGCAAAUGAAAUAGAUAAACUAGGUUUUCAAAGCUGUUCUCUGAUGAUCUUGCUAUAGUAUUCACCUGUGUAUUUCAAACAUAAUCUCACAUUUGAAGAGACUAGUAAUUCCUGUUUUUGCCAGCAUGCUGAUCCCAUUUUCAAGGAAGAAUGGCUUCCAGUUACUUUGUAACCUCAAGUUCCCAGCAGUUGGCUUUAAAAACAUAGUUCAAAGUGGGCUCAUUUUGCAAUCGAUUUCCAAUGAUGUUUAUCAAAAUCUGGCUGUAGAGGACUGGAUCCAUGACCACAUGAAUCUAGAAGGCAGGUCAGUUCUUUUCUUCUGGAGGAAUUCUCCCUCUGUAGUAAUUGGUCGGCAUCAGAACCCUUGGCAGGAGUGUAACCUGAAUCUGCUGAGAGAAGAAGGUAUAAAACUGGCUCGCAGGAGAAGUGGAGGAGGGACUGUCUACCAUGAUAUGGGUAACAUCAACUUGACCUUCUUUACAACCAAAAAAAAGUAUGAUAGGAUGAAAAAUCUAAAGUUAAUUGUGAGAGGUCUGAACACUGUCCAGCCCCAACUGGAUGUGCAGGCCACCAGAAGAUUUGACCUUUUACUGGAUGGCCAGUUUAAAAUCUCAGGGACCGCUUCCAAGAUUGGUCGGACUGCUGCUUAUCACCAUUGCACUUUAUUAUGCAGCACCAACAGGACCUUCCUGUCAUCUUUGCUCAAGAGUCCUUACCGAGGGAUCAGGAGCACUGCCACUGCCAGCAUACCUUCCUCGGUGAAAAACCUUGUGGAAAAAGAUCCCACUCUGACCUGUGAAGUAGUGAUCGAUGCCAUUGCUGCAGAGUAUGCUGCUUUUCAUCACAUUGAGAAUCACAUUCACCUCAUAAACCCAACAGAUGAGACCCUGUUUCCUGGAAUUAACAGCAAAGCCAAAGAGCUACAGACCUGGGAGUGGAUAUAUGGCAAAACGCCAAAGUUUAGCAUAAACACGUCCUUGAAUGUGCUGCAUGAACAGUCACCCUUGGAAAUUAAAGUAUUCAUAGACAUAAAGAAUGGAAGAAUUGAAGUCUGUAACAUCAAAGCCCCUGAUCAUUGGUUGCCGCUGGAAAUAUGUGACAGAUUAAACUCAGGUUUCAUUGGUAGUAAGUUUUGCCCAACGGAAACGACUGUGCUGACAAGUACACUGCGUAGGACGUGUCCAGAAGAUGAUGGACUACACAGUAAAUGGAAUAUUCUCUGUGAAAAAAUUAAGGAAAUAAUGUGAUUCCAAGUAUACUAAUAUAGACAGUUUCAAUGAGAAAAUUAAAAUGUU